AAUUCUCAACCUUGCAAGCUUGCUUGCGAGGCUUGGAUGUGAGGGUUUUUGCUGGCUUCCUUUAGUUGGAUGGUCUGCUCCCUUUAAAUUCAUUAGUGGGAUCCUUUGUGGAUGGUCACUUGGUGUGAUAAUUAUCUACGCCGUCUGACUCUGAAACAAGACUUGUGGGGACCUGCUUAUAACCGUCUCUUCGGAGACAAUGUUUGACA
rnacentral:misc_RNA from 1 species